GCGCUCUGGGAGUACGACAUGGCGCGCGAGCUGCGGGCGCUGCUGCUGUGGGGCCGCUGCUUGCGGCCUCUGCUGCGGGCCCCGGCGCUGGCGGCCGUCCCGGGAGGAAAACCAAUUCUGUGUCCUCGGAGGACCAUAGCCCAGUUGCGCCCCAGGCGAAACCCGGCCUGGAGCUUGCAGGCAGGACGGCUGUUCAGCACGCAGACUGCCGAGGACAAGGAAGAACUCCUGCACUCGAUCAUCAGCAGCACAGAGAGCGUGCAGGGUUCCACUUCCAAACAUGAGUUCCAGGCAGAGGUUGCAGUGAGCUGAGAUCAUGCCACUGCACUCCAGCCUGGGCGACAGAGCGAGACUCCAUCUUAAAAACAACAACAAAAAACAAAAAAACCUACCAGAACUGUGACUUUACCCCCAUGUUACGUCUUUUGUUGUAUUUCUCUCGAGGUUGGUCUGCUGUCCUGUGUAGCGGCCACCAGCUGCAUGUGGCACUUUAAAUGUAAAUGCAUUAAGAUUAAAUAAAAGGCGACACUGAGCCCCUCAGCUGCACAGG
rnacentral:sRNA from 1 species